rnacentral:rRNA from 1 species
GACAGAGGGGGCAAGCGUUGCUCGGAAUCACUGGGCGUAAAGGGCGCGUAGGCGGGAUGGCAAGUCAGUCGUGAAAUCUCUCGGCUCAACCGAGAAACGUCGGCUGAUACUGCCGUUCUUGAGGGAUGCAGAGGAGACUGGAAUUCCCGGUGUAGCGGUGAAAUGUGUAGAGAUCGGGAGGAACACCGGUGGCGAAGGCGGGUCUCUGAGCAUUUCCUGACGCUGAGGCGCGAAAGCGUGGGGAGCAAACGGG